GAGCAUUGUGGGGCCCGCUUGGAUCUCCUUGUCCAAAGGGUCUGGGCGCCGGGGCUGCAGUCUCUGGGUGAGGAGGCGGACGCGGGAAACCUGCUUCGGUCUCCAUGGUUACGAGCCGCUCAGCGCGCAGGAGGGGGAUUCAAAGGUUGGCGUUGCCACAGUAACCCUGGAGUGGAAGGAGACGGGGAUUAGAGACCUCGCGGGAGAAAUUAGACUAACAGCCUGGGAACUGGAGGGAUGGAGGGUGUGCCGGAGGAAUCAGUCUGCAGUAAGGGGAGUUGGGGUGAUAUUAGGGGAAAUGGGAUGUUUUCAAGGACAGGGAGUGUUUUGGUGAAUUCCUAUGUAAUAAGGAGAUUUGGGGAGAUCAUUGAAAUCGACAAGUUACUAGAUACUUGGGAUGCUCAAGGGGAAGUGGAAACGCAGUAGGAUCCGCCCGCCUCAGCCUCCCAAAGCAGUAGGGAAAAUUGGGGUAUUAAGCUCUUUUGCCAUUCUGCAGUUAUUAUAGAGCUCCUGCUGGAAGCCAGGCACAGUUGACAGUACUGGUAAACAGGACAGAUGUGACUAUAGACGGAAUUGGGGUUUCAUGGAGAAGGGGAGGUAUAAGAAAAGGGGACUGUUGUCCUCUAUGGGAGGGACUGGGAGGCGAUUGGGAAGAACUGGCGCUGUAAAGAGAAGCUGGAAGUUUUAUAAGGGAAUUGAGGUAUUAUAUAAGUUAAUUCUGUUGUUAUUUAUAGAAGGCCAACUCAGUAGCAGCCUCUAGGAAGCACUGAGGAUUCCUCAGUAUGCAAAGGCAUUUAGUGAUAGAGUUACCAGAUUUAGGGGGAAAGCAAUGGCCAGUUAAAUUCUAAUUUCGGAAAAUGCAUAAUAUUGUAGUUACUCUCUGUUGUUUAUCUGAAAUUCAAAUUUAGCUGGGCAUCCUGUAUUUUAUUUGGCAGCUCUCAUUAUGGUUAAUUUAAGUGUUUGUGAAGAGUGGGUUAUUAUAGGGGAAACAGGUAUUAUAGAGUAAUUGGGUUGUAGGAGGAGCUGGGGAUAGUCAGGAAAAGUCGGAGUGUUGAAGCUAACGCCAAGAUCAGCACUGACUGUGUGCCAGAGACUAUGCUAAGUACUCUUAUUUUUAAAAACGUUUUAUUAUGGAAAGUUUCGGCCAUAUACAAUUGUUUGCUUGUUUUUGAGAUGGAGUCUUACGCUGUCGCCCAGGCUGGAGUGCAGUGGCAUGAUCUCUGCUCAUUUCAACCUCUGCUUCCCGGGUUCAAGCGAUUCUCCUGCCUCAGCCUCCCGAGUAGCUGGGAUUACAGGUGCGCACCACCACGCCCGGCUAAUUUUUGUAAUUUUAGUAGAGAAGGGGUUUCACCAUGUUGGCCAGGCUGGUCUUGAACUCCUGACCUCAAGAGAUUCACCCACCUCAGUCUCCCAAAGUGCUGGGAUUAUAGGCGUGAGCCACUGCGCCUGGCCCAUAUACAAUUGUUAAACAGAUAAUAUAUAAUAAAGCUACUUGUACCCAUCUCUGCUUUACAUGAGUGCUGUUGAGGCAUCCCAACAUUCCUAUGAGGUAGCGUUACUGUCACACCCCCAUUUUACAGAUGAGGAAACUGCACCACAGAGAGGUUAAAUAACUUGGCCAGAGGUGUUAGAACCAGAAUUUGGACCCACACAAUCGGGCCCCAGAGUCUGGGCUCUCAGCUGCCAUAUCACAUGUAACCUCCGUCUGGGAAAUGUGAGUAGGGAGUGAGGCAUGAUGGGAGCAACAAGAGAGUAGUAGUAAGGUAUAAAAGGAAAGGUAGGGAAUUGGGCCGUUUGAGCAUUGUGCAGUUGUUAUAGGAUUUUUAUUUUUAUUUUUUGAGACAGAGUCUCACUCUGUCACCCAGGCUGGAGUGCAGUGGUGCAAUUUUGGCUCACUGCAACCUCCACCUUCUGAGUUCAAGCAAUUCUCCUGCCUCAGCCUCCCAAGUAGCUGGGAUUACGGGUGUGCGCCACCAUGCCUGGCUAAUUUUUGUAUUUUCAGUAGAGACGAGGUUUCACCACGUUGGCCAGGCUGGUCUCGAACUCCUAACCUCAAGUGAUCCACCCGCCUCAGCCUCCCAGAGUGCUGGGAUUACAGCCGUGAGCCAUCGCCCCCAGCCAGUUGUUCUAGGAUUUUUAUAAGAUGUUUUGGGAGACUGGGGGAGUUACAGAAGAGUUUGGUGUUUUGAAACAUUAUGGGAAGUUGUAUAGUUGCAUUUCAAUAGAACAGUAGCAGCUAGCCACAUGUGGGUGCAUUACAUUAAUUAUAAUGAAAUAAAACUCAGCACAUUUCAGGAAGCGCCUACCGUAUUGGAUAGUGAAGAUCUAGAGCAGUCCCAAUGAGUCUGGAUAACAGGGAUUUAGGGUAACCAAGGGUUAAGGCACAAGCAGGUGCAGCCAGUUCUAGGCAAGAUUGGGCAGCAUCCAGGCCACAUCCUCACUCCUGUGAUAACAAGACAGAAGUCUCCACUUCAGCCUCUUGAUUGGUCACGGGCCAAUCCUUCAUAGGGUGUAACCAACUGGAGGCCUCUAAAGGGCACCUAGGGGUGUUACCAAAUUCUUUUAGCUUAAUGAAAACUCUAAAGAGCACUGCAGUCAGGGGCUCUUGAGCUACUUGCUCAAGCCCACUCCGACUCUGGAGUGUACUUUCACUUCCAUAAAUCUGUGCUUUCGUUACUCCGCUCUUUUGUUGCUUUGUUUGUGCAUUUUGUUCAAUUCUUUGUUCCACACACCAAGAACCCUAACAACUCACAGUCAGGACCUUCCAUAGGGUAACACCAUCACUGCAGAAAGUUCUGUUGGACAGCCCUGAUGUGUGGGGUGACAAGUGUGGAGGCUUUCCUGGCUCCUAAAGUUCGACCUUAUCUCUUAGCGAUUGCUCUCGUACUUCCUCUGACUCACCCCUAACCUUCUCCUCUCUGUUCUACUAAAAAUACAAAAAUUAGCUGGGCGUGGUGGUGGGCACCUGUAAUCCCAGCUACUCAGGAGGCUG
rnacentral:lncRNA from 1 species